UGGCAAUUGUUCCUCGUGCAGUCCUUUCAGUAACUGCAAGAUUUCAAAUUGCCAUAGAGCAAAUAUGGAUUGCUUCACCCAGAAUUGUUCUGUGUAACACUGUUUGGCUUUGCGGAUCCAUACAUUC